rnacentral:rRNA from 1 species
CAAUAGCGUAUAUUAAAGUUGUUGCAGUUAAAAAGCUCGUAGUUGGAUUUGUGGCGUACGGUGGGUUCCGGGCACUUGUUGUCUGAGUAACUUGCUGUUGCCAUCCUUGGGUGGAACCUGUGUGGCAUUAGGUUGUCGUGCAGGGGAUGCCCAUCAUUUACUGUGAAAAAAUUAGAGUGUUCAAAGCAGGCUUAUGCCGUUGAAUAUAUUAGCAUGGAAUAAUGAGAUAGGACUUUGUUGCUAUUUUGUUGGUUUGCGCAAAGAGGUAAUGAUUAAUAGGGACAGUUGGGGGUAUUCGUAUUCCAUUGUCAGAGGUGAAAUUCUUGGAUUUUUGGAAGACGAACUACUGCGAAAGCAUUUACCAAGGAUGUUUUCAUUAA